rnacentral:tRNA from 1 species
GGGAUAUAGCUCAGCUGGGAGAGCACCUGCCUUGCAAGCAGGGGGUCAAGGGUUCGAUUCCCUUUAUCUCC